rnacentral:tRNA from 1 species
CGGCCUUUGUGAUCUGGCAAGUUGACGGGCUCUGACUCCGUCAAUCGUGGUUCGAAUCCACGCGGGGCAUCCA